GAUUACUUCGAACAAGGUGGUCCUUGCUCAGAUGAGUUUGCUGUUGGUUUGCACGAUGAAUAUAAGCCACUUGAAGGACAUGAUAUAGGGCAGUUUCCAGGACUGGAUACUGUUGAUCAAAUUACAAAUGUCCCAGCUUUGACACUCGCUACAUGAACUGAUCCUGUGACGAAGUCUUCUGAUGAUUUGUUGGUUAAAGCAAGCGAAAACAAAUUAAGACACAAGG
rnacentral:misc_RNA from 1 species